UGGGGAAUCUUAGACAAUGGGGGAAACCCUGAUCUAGCCAUGCCGCGUGGACGAUGAAGGCCUUAGGGUUGUAAAGUCCUUUCAGCUGGGAAGAUAAUGACGGUACCAGCAGAAGAAGCCCCGGCUAACUCCGUGCCAGCAGCCGCGGUAAUACGGAGGGGGCUAGCGUUGUUCGGAAUUACUGGGCGUAAAGCGCACGUAGGCGGACUGGAAAGUUGGGGGUGAAAUCCCAGGGCUCAACCCUGGAACUGCCUUCAAAACUAUCAGUCUGGAGUUCGAGAGAGGUGAGUGGAAUUCCGAGUGUAGAGGUGAAAUUCGUAGAUAUUCGGAGGAACACCAGUGGCGAAGGCGGCUCACUGGCUCGAUACUGACGCUGAGGUGCGAAAGCGUGGGGAGCAAACAGGAUU
rnacentral:rRNA from 1 species